rnacentral:tRNA from 1 species
UAAAGGGUGGCUGAGCGGUCGAAAGCUCUGGUUUGCUAAAUCAGUACGCAAUGCGUCGCAGGUUCAAAUCCUGCUCCUUUGG